AUUGAACGCUGGCGGCAUGCUUUACACAUGCAAGUCGAACGGCAGCGCGGGCUUCGGCCUGGCGGCGAGUGGCGAACGGGUGAGUAAUACAUCGGAACGUGCCCAGUAGUGGGGGAUAGCUCGGCGAAAGCCGGAUUAAUACCGCAUACGACCUGAGGGUGAAAGCGGGGGAUCUUCGGACCUCGCGCUAUUGGAGCGGCCGAUGGCAGAUUAGCUAGUUGGUGGGGUAAAGGCCUACCAAGGCGACGAUCUGUAGCUGGUCUGAGAGGACGACCAGCCACACUGGGACUGAGACACGGCCCAGGCUCCUACGGGAGGCAGCAGUGGGGAAUUUUGGACAAUGGGCGAAAGCCUGAUCCAGCAAUGCCGCGUGUGUGAUGAAGGCCUUCGGGUUGUAAAGCACUUUUGGCGGGAACGAAAAGGACUGUGCCAAUACCACGGUUCGAUGACGGUACCCGAAGAAUAAGCACCGGCUAACUACGUG
rnacentral:rRNA from 1 species